rnacentral:lncRNA from 1 species
AAACAAUAAGCACCCUUUGUCAUAUUCACUAAAUAUCAUGGAACCUUUGCGAGAGGAACAAUUAAUGAACGCCAUAUAUAAUUAUAACUGAAUCUGCACAUACUAAGUCAAUGGCCAUGAAUUGAGCCAGAGAUCUUUUAGAAAUGCAACACCAUACUUAUAUACAAAUCUGUUACUCAGCUAGACAAGUAUUACCACGUACGAUCUCAGCGUUGGGCCUCAACUCAAUAACUUUGAAACCAAGUAUGUUCUAUCUGCAGUUUUACUAUUCAGAAAAGAAGAUAUCAGCGAUGCAUUCUUUUCUUCAUCUCAUGAUAUCAACAAGUAAUGGCAUUGACAAUACAGUCGUACCUGCAGAACAGCUAUGGUUUCGGCAAAGCAUAGGAAGGAACAGAACAUAAAUAUCCAGAAAAAGGAAGAAAAGCAAAAGAAAAACAGCCAUUCCAAAAUCCAACAAAAUAAUGUAUCAGCCAAAUGAGGGGUAAGUUAAAAUACAACUUGUAGAUCCAGUGUAUCGGUUCCAAAUCCAUGGAUGUUCAAUCUAUCCAAGUAAAGCCCAAGCCCUGAUGCUCAUGCAGGCGAGGUAGUGCAUAAUAUAUAUUUCAGAAAGCAAGGAUUUUAUUGCGGACACUGAUGAGUUAACUGAAAAAUUGAACUCUUGGUUAUGACAUCAACGACAUGCAAAGUCCAACUGCAACUACAGAAACCAAUGAAAUUUAGUAGCAGGUCAAGCUUUAGAAACAAAAGAGAUACAAAGGGGAACAUAUACAAAUCCGAAAACAGUAGAUAGAAGUUCCCUAAUAAUUGCAAGUAAUUCUGUUACAGUGCUAUUGAGGCAGUGGAUAACAAACAUCCGCAGAUGCUUUCCAGGGUUUAUUUUAGCUUAUGAGAGGAAAUUCCACAUAAUUAGCAACCUUCCAAAAUAAAAUCCGAUAAAUGACAUGGAGAAGGUACAAGUUCACUUAGAAUUGUAAGUACUUCCAUUUAGAAAAGGAAAGCAACCUUCCAAAAUAAAAUCCGAUAAAUGACAUGGAGAAGGGACAAGUUCACUUAGAAUUGUAAGUACUUCCAUUUAGAAAAGGAACGCAACCUUCCAAAAUAAAAUCCGAUAAAUGACAUGGAGAAGGGACAAGUUCACUUAGAAUUGUAAGUACUUCCAUUUAGAAAAAGGAAUUGUAAGAACUAAUUGCUACAGCAGUGAUGAGGCAACGAAUAAAAAAAACAUGAGAAGAUUGUAGGAGAUUCCACAUAUAUAAUAAGCAACCUUUACAUAUACUGUAGAUGAGAAAAAGCUAAAACGACCUUGCUCUCCUCAGAAGUUGUGUAGAGUGUGGUCGUUUUUUCCUGAGUGCAAGAAAGCAAAGAAAAUAAUAAUUCUGAAUUUGCCCAAAUAUCCACAGAAAGCAAGGGGGCUGGGACCUGGGAGAAUGAUUUACAAAAGGAGAUGUAUGCCAGAUCAAGCAUUUAUGAAUCAGUGGAUACUAAA